rnacentral:rRNA from 1 species
UACGUAGGGCCCAAGCGUUGUUCGGAUUUACUGGGCGUAAAGGGCGCGUAGGCGGCGCGGUAAGUCACUUGUGAAAUCUCUGAGCUUAACUCAGAACGGCCAAGUGAUACUGCAGUGCUAGAGUGUGGAAGGGGCAAUCGGAAUUCUUGGUGUAGCGGUGAAAUGCGUAGAUAUCAAGAGGAACACCUGAGGUGAAGGCGGGUUGCUGGGCUGACACUGACGCUGAGGCGCGAAAGCUAGGGGAGCGAACGGG